rnacentral:rRNA from 1 species
GGUAAGUUCCGACCUGCACGAAUGGUGCAACGAUCUGGACACUGUCUCAGCCAUGAGCUCGGUGAAAUUGUAGUAUCGGUGAAGAUGCCGAUUACCCGCUACGGGACGAAAAGACCCCGUGAACCUUUACUAUAGCUUAGUAUUGGCUUUGGAUAAGUAAUGUGUAGGAUAGGUCGGAGACUUUGAAGCAGCAUCGCUAGGUGUUGUGGAGUCAUUGUUGAAAUACGACCCUUUGCUUAUCU